AAGAGGUGCUUAAGUCAUGAGGGCUCCAGCCUAAUGAACUGAUUAAUGUUGUUUUUGUGGGAGUGGGAUAAAAUAAUGAGUUUGGCCCCCUUCCCACGAGUUCUCUAAUUCUUACCUUCUUUUGCCCUUCCUCCUUUCACAGUGAAAUAAAACAGCAAGAAGAUCCUCUCCAGAUAAGUGGGCCUCUCGACCUUGGACUUCCCAGCCUGCAGAACUGGCCCGUUACUGUCAGAUUCCGGCAGUUGACCCUGGUGAUUUCACAGCAGCAAGCACUGCAGGCGUUCCCAACACACAAGGCAAACUCUGUAUAUGGGCUUACCACCCACAGAUCCAGCUGUCUGUCAUGUCGUUCCCAUAUUGAAGGAACAUAACCUGUUGUUAAGCCAUUUCAGCCCUGGAAUAAGGAAAGUUUCCAAAAUGCAAUCUUUGAGUUUGGAAAAUGGCAUUUGAGAGGUAUAAAUAAAGCUAAAUUCUUAUAGAACUUAAA